rnacentral:rRNA from 1 species
GAAUAUUGGACAAUGGGCGAAAGCCUGAUCCAGCCAUGCCGCGUGAGUGAUGAAGGCCCUAGGGUUGUAAAGCUCUUACGCAGGUGAAGAUAAUGACGGUAACCUGAGAAGAAGCCCCGGCUAACUUCGUGCCAGCAGCCGCGGUAAUACGAAGGGGGCUAGCGUUGUUCGGAAUUACUGGGCGUAAAGCGCACGUAGGCGGACUAUUAAGUCAGGGGUGAAAUCCCGGGGCUCAACCCCGGAACUGCCUUUGAUACUGGUAGUCUCGAGUGCGAGAGAGGUGAGUGGAAGUCCGAGUGUAGAGGUGAAAUUCGUAGAUAUUCGGAGGAACACCAGUGGCGAAGGCGGCUCACUGGCUCGGUACUGACGCUGAGGUGCGAAAGCGUGGGGAGCAAACAGG